rnacentral:rRNA from 1 species
GAGUUUGAUCCUGGCUCAGGACGAACGCUGGCGGCGUGCUUAACACAUGCAAGUCGAACGGUGACAUCGGAGCUUGCUCUGGUUGAUCAGUGGCGAACGGGUGAGUAACACGUGAGUAACCUGCCCUUGACUCUGGGAUAACUCCGGGAAACCGGGGCUAAUACCGGAUACGAGACGCGACCGCAUGGUCGGCGUCUGGAAAGUUUUUCGGUCAAGGAUGGACUCGCGGCCUAUCAGCUUGUUGGUGAGGUAAUGGCUCACCAAGGCGUCGACGGGUAGCCGGCCUGAGAGGGCGACCGGCCACACUGGGACUGAGACACGGCCCAGACUCCUACGGGAGGCAGCAGUGGGGAAUAUUGCACAAUGGGCGAAAGCCUGAUGCAGCGACGCCGCGUGAGGGAUGAAGGCCUUCGGGUUGUAAACCUCUUUCAGUAGGGAAGAAGCGAAAGUGACGGUACCUGCAGAAGAAGCGCCGGC